rnacentral:rRNA from 1 species
GACGAACGCUGGCUGCGUGCUUAACACAUGCAAGUCGAACGGAAAGGCCCUGCUUUUGUGGGGUGCUCGAGUGGCGAACGGGUGAGUAACACGUGAGUAACCUGCCCUUGACUUUGGGAUAACUUCAGGAAACUGGGGCUAAUACCGGAUAGGAGCUCCUGCUGCAUGGUGGGGGUUGGAAAGUUUCGGCGGUUGGGGAUGGACUCGCGGCUUAUCAGCUUGUUGGUGGGGUAGUGGCUUACCAAGGCUUUGACGGGUAGCCGGCCUGAGAGGGUGACCGGCCACAUUGGGACUGAGAUACGGCCCAGACUCCUACGGGAGGCAGCAGUGGGGAAUAUUGCACAAUGGGCGGAAGCCUGAUGCAGCAACGCCGCGUGCGGGAUGACGGCCUUCGGGUUGUAAACCGCUUUCGCCUGUGACGAAGCGUGAGUGACGGUAAUGGGUAAAGAAGCACCGGCUAACUACGUGCCAGCAGCCGCGGUGAUACGUAGGGUGCGAGCGUUGUCCGGAUUUAUUGGGCGUAAAGGGCUCGUAGGUGGUUGAUCGCGUCGGAAGUGUAAUCUUGGGGCUUAACCCUGAGCGUGCUUUCGAUACGGGUUGACUUGAGGAAGGUAGGGGAGAAUGGAAUUCCUGGUGGAGCGGUGGAAUGCGCAGAUAUCAGGAGGAACACCAGUGGCGAAGGCGGUUCUCUGGGCCUUUCCUGACGCUGAGGAGCGAAAGCGUGGGGAGCGAACAGGCUUAGAUACCCUGGUAGUCCACGCUGUAAACGGUGGGUACUAGGUGUGGGGUCCAUUCCACGGGUUCCGUGCCGUAGCUAACGCUUUAAGUACCCCGCCUGGGGAGUACGGCCGCAAGGCUAAAACUCAAAGGAAUUGACGGGGCCCCGCACAAGCGGCGGAGCAUGCGGAUUAAUUCGAUGCAACGCGUAGAACCUUACCUGGGUUUGACAUGGAUCGGGAGUGCUCAGAGAUGGGUGUGCCUCUUUUGGGGUCGGUUCACAGGUGGUGCAUGGCUGUCGUCAGCUCGUGUCGUGAGAUGUUGGGUUAAGUCCCGCAACGAGCGCAACCCUUGUUCACUGUUGCCAGCACGUUAUGGUGGGGACUCAGUGGAGACCGCCGGGGUCAACUCGGAGGAAGGUGGGGGUGACGUCAAGUCAUCAUGCCCCUUAUGUCCAGGGCUUCACGCAUGCUACAAUGGCUGGUACAGAGAGUGGCGAGCCUGUGAGGGUGAGCGAAUCUCGGAAAGCCGGUCUCAGUUCGGAUUGGGGUCUGCAACUCGACCUCAUGAAGUCGGAGUCGCUAGUAAUCGCAGAUCAGCAACGCUGCGGUGAAUACGUUCCCGGGGCU